GAUAAUUUGGCCAAGUGGUUAAGACGGCGGCCUGCUAAGCCGUUGGGCCAUGCCCAUGGGAGUUCGAAUCCCCCAGGUGUCG
rfam:Perkinsus marinus ATCC 50983 gcontig_1104296304238, whole genome shotgun sequence.